rnacentral:rRNA from 1 species
CAGUCGACGAUACGGCCCUACCUUCGGGUGGGGUGUUCAGCUAAGUGGCGCACGGGUGAGUAAUGAUAGCUAACAUGCCCCAUAGAGGGGGAUAACGGCGGCUGGAAACGGCCGCUAAUACCCCAUACUCCUCUUUAACAUAAGUUAAAGAGGGAAAAGGAUUACCGCUAAGGGAUUGGGCUAUAUUGUAUCAGCUAGUUGGUAAGGUAACGGCUUACCAAGGCUAUGACGCAUAGCUGGUCUGAGAGGAUGAUCAGCCACACUGGAACUGAGACACGGUCCAGACUCCUACGGGAGGCAGCAGUGGGGAAUAUUGCGCAAUGGGGGGAACCCUGACGCAGCAACGCCGCGUGGAGGAUGACGCCCUUCGGGGUGUAAACUCCUUUUCUGAGGGAAGAAGGAGACGGUACUUCAGGAAUAAGCACCGGCUAACUCCGUGCCAGCAGCCGCGGUAAUACGGAGGGUGCGAGCGUUACUCGGAAUCACUGGGCGUAAAGGGCGCGUAGGCGGUUUGGUAAGUUGGAUGUGAAAGCCCACAGCUCAACUGUGGAACUGCGUCCAAAACUGCCAGACUAGAGUCCGGGAGAGGCAGGUGGAAUUUGGUGGUGUAGGGGU